UUCCCUUGCCAAGAUAGCUCAGUUGGUUAGAGCAUGGUGCUGGUAAGGCCAAGUUUACAGGUUUGAUCCCUGUAUGGGACA